UAUAUUUUAAUUUUGAUAUUGACCGAACAUGUAAGUGAACUUGCAGGUUAAUUCUCCGCCAAAACCCACACCAAAUCUCUCAAUUUAGCUAUUUCUGCAAAAAUUUCAAAAAUCUCAGGUGGUUCAACGGUAUCAUCUACAAACAAUUGAUUAUGGAAGAAGAUCCAACAAAAAAUGGCUAUGAAAGUGUUUUAAAAACAACUGCUGAAUAUGCCGCAAACUUAAGUGAGGGUGAGCAGGAAAAAACUUCGGCUGAUGAUGCUACUAUAGGUGACAACCCUGAAUCGUUUGUUGGAGAACAACUCAAAGGGAAAACAGGGGUAAUUACAUUUUAUUUUUGUUUUAUUAACUAUUAAAUUUGUUUUUUUUUGCUAUACAUACGCACUGCAUUUAGUUUUUUUGAUAAUGAGAUUUUCCUGUUAGGAAACACAUCUGGAAAACAAAGACACAAACUUUGAAAAUGAACCGAGUUCAAGUCAUGUUAGUGAGACACAAAACUUUGCUGAUUCUUUAGAAAAAUUAAUAGAGGAGGAAGAUAAUAGCCAGUGUACUGAUUUAUCCAACACGAAAUUGAGUGAGAAGUGUUCAUUAUUAUAAAAUAUCAAUUAAUGGGAAUCUUAACUAUCUGUUUUUAAAGGAUAAAAUAUGGGAAGGCAUUGCAAACACGAGUGGAAGAGUUAAUGAGGAAAUAUUGGAUAAUGAGGAAGUGAUUGAACCUCAAGAUGAGGUUCUCGAGGUUCAAGAGGUUAGGGUAACUAGAAAACGAGGAAGGCCACCACUCACUGAAGCUCAACAGGCAACUAGACCCCCACCUAUUGGAAAGUGGGUGAAAGGAGGCCCGGGAAGGCCACCUAAAGGCAAAGGAGAAGGCACUUCCAGGACUCCGAUAAGUAUGACAAAAUUUAUAAGUUUGUUUACAUUCCAUAGUUCAGUUAAGUUUACAUUAGUGAUUUAAAUUUCCAGCAUACUGCGCUGAGGACUUACCCCGGGCUUGUCAAAGAGUUGGUGGACACUAUAGGAGACGUGAAAAAAAAUUGGGUUAAGGCUGCGGGAUUUGGGCCAAUUUUAGAUAUUAAAGUGACAAAGGUAGAUAGGCAUUUCAUGACUUGGUUGGAGGGAAUAUGGGAUUGGAAGAGACAGACGCUAAGGAUCCACGAUGAUUAUGAAAUUGUUAUAGAUGAGGAUAUGAUAAUGUGGAUCACCGGACUUCCGGCAGGAAGUCAUGAAUUUAGUCCUUUGAAGGGGGGGGGAGCUAAUGAAGUUUGAAAAAGAGUACGAUAAAAAAGGUGGAAUUGAUUAUACGACUGUAUUCAACAAGGCACUGCUUGAAAUUGAUAACAAGAACAUGUUUUUAAGGCAUUUCAUACUGCUGUCUUUUGGUUGUUUGUUUUGCAUGACUAAGUAUAAAUUCAUUAGCCCAAAACUAUUGCAUAUUCUUAAAGACGAAUACCUUGAUGAUCCAUAUGAAUUGAACUGGUGUGCUUUUUUGUCUGAAUGGAUUGGAGAAAAUGGAAAAGAUCAGGGAAAGGCAUCAACGUUCAUUUUAUUGAUUGCUUAUUUAGAUAGGCUAAAGAAUAACAAAACAUCUAAGGGAUGGAAAAAAAAUGCCCCGAGGUUAGGAGCUUGGAAGACAAAAGACGUACUUCCUCUGUUUCUCAAAGGAUGCAUCGUAUUCCUUUCUGGAUGUUUCACAAUAGAUGCAUAGUUUCCCUUUCUAGUAACUUUUUUUACAUGAAAAGUCGUAAUUACCCUUACUUACCUCCUAUAGUUAUGUCCUAAAUAUACUUUGUGAUCUCACUAACUACUUCUUAGUAUUAUUUUAACGCACCCAAAUAUCCCAUUAAUCUAACCCAGCCCAUCUAAUCUCUCUCUCUCUCUCUCUCUCUCUCUCUCUCUUCAUUCAACCCUGUCCAGAAUAAUCCACAUUCAUCUAUACCCAUUCCACUCCAUCUCUUCAUUUAAUGGUGCAUUUACUUCUCUUCUUCGACUCAACCAUAUCUCUGUCUACAUUUCUCCUCCUAUAUAAACAAACACCAAUAAAAACCCUAGAUCUAAAAUCCCUCUUUUCCGUCUACAUCGUCGGCUCUCGUUAGUUUCAGAUCUGCAGUUGUCUUCGCCAAAAAAGAUUUGAUCCUUAAUGAAACGUUUUGAAUGUUUCAACCACUUCAAAUAUGAAAUUGGUCCCUCUUUUGAAAGUGAGGAUGUGGAUAUGUCGGAGCUUGAUGAUGAAGAACCGGAACUUGAUGAUUAUCUGAAAGAGGUUCUUUAUGCGUAUCACAAUCCCCGUGAGGCUUCUCUAUCUGUUGGUGAAGAGUACAUCCCAAACACUCCCACUACGGAGAUUAUUGCACCUGAUACACCACGCCAGAAGAGAAAGUCUCCUACUCUUCACAUAAGCGUCGACCGGGAGAUCUGUCUCGCCGUCGAAGAAUCAGGCCAAGAAAUGAUGAUUCGUCUGCAUCCUCUGAUCCUCCAUCUUCUAGUGUUGUUCGGGCUCUGUUUAAGGUUGACGAGUAUGUCCCGUAUGUCCCGCCUAGCCAACCUGAUGUGUGUGAUGAUAUGCUCCAGUUAUUGUGCCUUGGGAUUUUCUGCAAUCUUAGUAAUUCCAGAUAAGAAACUCCUGUUACUCUUUAUCUCUUUCUGUCAAAAUAUUUAGUACCCCUAAAUUUGAGUUAGUUAGGUUAGGUAUGUUGUAAUCCCCUUCUAAAUGGUAAGUUGUAUUUCAGUUAUGAGGGUGUGUAGGGUAUGUUGCAAUGAACUAUUGGAUAUAAAGCUGUAAUUUGGUUAUGUAGGGUAAUGUUCUAAUGUUGUAACAGAAACUGAGAGGACUAAUUGUUGUAAUGUUUAAGCAUCUAUCCGUUGAUGUUAUUUAAUGAAUUCUUGACAUGGUAAAACAUGAUCCGUAUCUUGUUUUAAGGAAUUCUUGACAUGGUAUAUCAUACUUUAAUUAGAGUAUAUAUGUGUGGUUGAUAGUUAGAGUUGCUCCUUUUCCUAAUGUUUUGCCAUUUUACUUCAGUUUUGCAGGGAGAUGGUACCUACAUUACUAAUUUCCCAAAGUGGAUGAUCAACAUGCAGGUAUAUGGUCAGGAAAUGCCUUGUAUUGGAUUGACUGAAUAGCCCUAAAAAACCCUAAGUCUAGGAUGUUCAAAUCUGGUGACUGUGCUGGCUGACAAAUCAGAUGGAUAUCGAAGCCAUCUUGCUGUGCAACUUCUAAAAACUGAACAUCGUCAACAAGAACAUGAGGUCUUGCAUUGUCUUGUUGGAUCCAGAUUGUUUUUGAGAGGAAAGAAGGCCAUUUUGCCUUGAUUCUUGGGAUCAUUUGUGUGUAGUACCAUACCUCUUCGUCAUCAUCCUCUGCAUAAAGGUAGGCAAGAGUUUCUAACGACAACAUCUCUUCCAAGUUCAUGACGUCGCUGCCAUCAGUAGCUUCUAUGCCAUGCCCCGAGAGGUCUGUCUCUCCCAAGAAGUCCUUCCAAAUCAGGGAUGCUGUGUGAUGUAGGGGUGUGCAAAAAUAUCCGAUCCGAAAUAUCUGAUCCGAAAUAUCCGAUCCGAAAAUCCGUUAUCCGAUCCGAAAUUUCGGAUAUCCGAUCCGAAUUUAAGGUUUCGGAUAUUUCGGAUCGGAUAUCCGAAAAAAUUAUCGGAUUUUCGGAUCGGAUACGGAUUAAGAAUUUUCCCUUAUCGGAUAUCCGAAAUAUCCGAAAUGUUUAAAAUAAAAAAAUAUAUGCCAAUUUCUUUUGGGCCUCCAUUUCUUUUUUACUCUCGCUCAACUCUCCUUCUCUAUUCUCCUUCUCUGCUUUCUUUCUAGACCAGUAAAGUAGUAAACCCUAGUUUCACUCAGCCACCCACCACUACCGCCCAGCCGCCUAGGCGUUCACCGACCACCACUCUCACUGUCCCUUGCAGCCUCACCGUAUCCGUCAGACCAUCACCAUCCCACUCUCAUCGACCCGGCGACAACAACAAUGGAGUCACGAGUAUUACUCUCUAUUUUCUAAGUAGUUGCGUAAUCAUUUUAUGGUUUUAGGAACAAGGCUUUUGGUUUUCUCUAUUUUAAGUCAUUUAAUUGAGUAUUUUGUAUAUUGUUCUUGUUUGGAUUUAAUUUCACUUUGAUCUACAUUUUCGUUUUGAUUUGGGUUUGUAAAAUUGGGUUCUUUUGGUAUUGCAAUUCAAAACACCAUUGUCAAAUGAAUUACUGACAAUUAGACAUGCCACUUUCAUUAACUAAUCACGCAAGUUGUCAACAGAUGUUGACGAAUAUUCUGAUUUUUUAAAAAUUCUGAUCGGAUACGGAUUUUCGGAUACCCGGUCCGAAAUAUCGGAUAUCCGAAAGUUCGGAUAUCCGAAAUUAUCGGAUCGGAUUCGGAUCACAAUUUCCCGAUCCGAAAUUUUCGGAUAUACGAAAUUUCGGAUCGGAUCGGAUCCGAUAUCCGAAACUUUCGGAUAUCCGAAAUUUCGGAUCGGAUCGGAUCCGAUAUCCGAAACUGCACACCCCUAGUGUGAUGUGAUAUUGUAGUGGAAGUGCAAUAGAAAAAAAAAAAAACAAAGAAAAAGUAUACAAUUUCUUUAGAGUUAAAAUGAUGUGAAUUUACUAGAUGUAUGUAAUCCCAUAAAAGUUGGAUGAUGAUUUUUUGGCUCCAAAUUUGAAUUUUUUGUAGGAAAUUUUGGUAUUUACUACCUUAAAAAUACCCCAUUUUUGCAUUUACUACCUUAUGAAAUUUUUAUUUUAAAUUACUAUCUUAAACUUCCAAUUUUUUUUUAUUUACUACCACUUUACAGUUUUCUCAUUUUAAAAUUAAGAUAUCUCUUUCGUUUCUUAAUCGUUUAAUGUGAUUCAAAGUUCACUAUUCUCCUUGUUUUAUAGGGAUUUCAUUGAGAACAACAUUUCAAAACAAUUCGUUUGAUAAUUCAUAUAUAUUUUAAACUUUUACAAAAAAUAUUUAAUUAUUUUUACCUUUUGCAAAAUUUUAAAAGCAAGAUCCAUAUGGAACCCUUACACUUAAAUGAGAAGAAUGGACUUUGAAUCACUUAAAAUGAUUAAAAAACAAAAGAGAUAUCUCAAUUUUAAAAUGAGAAAACUGUAAAGUGGUAGUAAAUAAAAAUAAAUUGAAACUUUAAGGUAGUAAUUUAAAAUAAAAUUUUCAUAAGGUAGUAAAUACAAAAGUGGUGUAUUUUCAAGGUAGUAAAUACCAAAAAAUCCUUUUUUGUAAAAGCCAAAAAAAUUGUACUUUUUGUAAUUUGAGUAAAGUGAACUGAAAUUUUGGAGGGAAUUGAAAAUGACCCCUCUUUUUUGAGGAGUGAAUGUUCACGGACCCAUGUACCUUUUCCCUUUAUUAGGAACAUUACUUUUCCUUUCCAGAUUCUCUUUCCUAUAAUCACAUGGGUAAAUUGGUCCAACUUCUACCAUUUACCCACUUCAUUGGUAGCCGCAUAAAAAGAAAUGUUGCAUCCUUUGCGGAACGGAGGAAGUAUAUGAUAUGAUCAAUAGAGAUUUAGAAACCAACGUAACUUAUGGUCAUCCAGAGGUUGUCCACGAUGUUUUUUACGGAAAACCUUAUCCAAUUAAUGCUCAAUCAGAACAACCUCCGUGGUUGAAGGAAAGGGUGGAUAUCACGACAGAAAGACCAUCCCCACCUCCAAAGGAAGCACUUAAGCAAUCAACACGAAAGAGAAUGAAGCUUAGGCGGCCAAAGAAUGAUGAUGCUUCUAACAAAGUGCCGGUUGAAAAUAGUGCCAAGCAAAAUGAGUGCGUUGCACCAAAUCUUGAUCACACAAUGCCGCAAGAAAACGAAGAAGGUGCAAACAACGCUGAUAAGGUAGAUGAGGAGUACGAUACAGAAUCAGACGAUGGCUUAGAAACCGGUGGGACUUACAUUCCAAAACCUAGGGUUGAGCCUACACAACAGAAAAUAUAUGAUAAGGUCCUAGAACAUAACAAAUUUGAAAAUCAGAUGCUGGUUCAUGAUGGUGUGCACAUUAUAAGUAGAGGAAUGUUAUAUCGUUCUUUUAAGAAGAACGGGGAGAUAGACAUGGAGGUGAUGUGUGCAUGGUGUUCGUUGUUGAAUAGCCAGCUAGCUGAUAUGAAUAUUUUCACAACUUAUGUCAUUAAGCCAACGUAUUGGGAUGAUUUGUUUAGAUUAGGAAUAAAGGAAGUUAAGUAUGUUGAACUAGUCACCGCAAUGGCAAACGACAUUAAAUCCGACAUCGAGAAGGGCGUUAUUGUGGAUGAAGUUCAAAAGAUUCCAAAGAGGGUUUACGACCAAUUGUAAGGCCAUUAAGAGCAGUCUGUUCGCAUACGACCCUAGGACUAAACCCCAUGAUAAAAAAAAAUUCAGGACACUUAUAUUUCUGCCGUGGGUAAUGUUUUUUUGAAAUUGCAACCAAUGAUUGGGCUUAAUGAAGGACAUUGGAAUAUAGAACCCUUGACACUAAACAUGGUCGAUCACCACCCAAAGCAGAGAUGCAAGCAUGACAGGGGAUUCUUAUGUAUGGUUAUGUUGUUGUCCUCAAUAGAGGUUGUAACGGAUUGGAUGGAGAUAAGAUUAGUGUGCUAAUUGUGCCUUCCAUUAUUCUGUUGAAUGUUCAACGAUGCAAGAACUAAUGUCUCAACGAAAUUGUUCAUUGCAGUUUUAUAAGAAAAACGACAGGGCAACACGGAAGUACAUUCUAGGUCGUCUGGUUUGCAGCGACAACAACACGAUCAAGGUGAAGGAGAUCCUUGAUUUACUGGGAAUCCGGAAAGUACACAGUUUAUGAUUUGCUUACAGUGUGGUAUUUUGGUGUAAUAUAUUUCCUUUAAACAUGUUGUAUUAUAAGAAUUAUUUUGUCCGAUUAAGACUUAAUUAUGACUCCGAUAUUAUUUAUAUGUGUAUGUGAUUAAAUAUUGAUCUUUAAUUUUUCACUA